GAUGAACGCUGGCGGCGUGCUUAACACAUACAAGUCGAACGGAAAGGCCCAAGCUUGCUUGGGUACUCGAGUGGCGAACGGGUGAGUAACACGUGGGUGAUCUGCCCUGCACUUCGGGAUAAGCCUGGGAAACUGGGUCUAAUACCGGAUAGGACGAUGGUUUGGAUGCCAUUGUGGAAAGUUUUUUCGGUGUGGGAUGAGCUCGCGGCCUAUCAGCUUGUUGGUGGGGUAAUGGCCUACCAAGGCGUCGACGGGUAGCCGGCCUGAGAGGGUGUACGGCCACAUUGGGACUGAGAUACGGCCCAGACUCCUACGGGAGGCAGCAGUGGGGGAUAUUGCACAAUGGGCGCAAGCCUGAUGCAGCGACGCCGCGUGGGGGAUGACGGCCUUCGGGUUGUAAACUCCUUUCGCUAGGGACGAAGCGUUUUUGUGACGGUACCUGGAGAAGAAGCACCGGCUAACUACGUG
rnacentral:rRNA from 1 species